AUGUUUUUAAAGAUUAUUUUGUUUUCUUGACAGUCAGUUACAGAUGGGGGUGGGAGAGACACACACAGAGAGAGACAGAGAGAGAAAGACUUUCCAUCGCAGUCUCGAACCUGCUCCACCUGCUGCACCAGCAAUGCCCACCCCUCCGUGACCUAUUGAAGACCUCGCUCUGUGUUCCAAAUCUCAGUAAACCAUAACCAUUAUAUAAGUCAGAAACUCAGAAGUCAAGCCUGACCCUGCUUUCUCUUUCACUCUCGUAUCUCAACAGACACUAAGUCAUGAGUAUUCUGUAUCCCUUGUACUUUUGAAUCCAAUCCAAUGUCUUCUCUCUCCCCAAGUUCACACCUGGCAACAGAGAGGGGUUUUAUUUAUUUUUUAGAUGAGGCUGCUUCACUCGCGUUUCAUUCCCCUUGGGGCAGAGACAUCUUUGUUGAGUCCUUCACGGGCCAGGUGAGCUCUAGGUGAGUCGGAACCACGGUGCCCGUCUGUGCAUAUCACUACAGCCUUCAAGCAUCCUGGUUUAUGCCCCAGGACCCCAGGAGAUCUCAAGUGGCCCCAGGAGCUCUGUUACACCGUGAGCCGGUUCUCUUCUCUCCAGUCAGCCCUCAGUUCAUGGGAAGCUCUGGAAUCAAUAUGGUACCUCUGCACCCACCAGGCUGAGAACAGACCACAUCUGUCAGCACAGCUCUGAGCUAUAAUCAAUUUCCAUGCCCAAUGCAAUCUUGACUCUGAACCAGCAAUGUCCUCUGGGCAAAUGGAAUAUAGGUAAUAGAAUGUACCAAGGAGUCUGUGUUUCUUCACAUGCUACAGGAGCAGAAAAGAGCAAAGUGAAAGAUCCAUCACCUUGAAUACUCAUCAGAGAUGUCCCCCAAGUGAUCCUGCUCUCUGCUUAGGGCGGCUGUUACCAGGCUUCUCACCCUCCAGAGAGAGGGCUCAAAUGCUACCACCACCACUCCCUGGAAGAAUGCCCCCCUGGGCCCACUGAAUGAAUUGUUCCCUCUUUGUCCCCACAGACACCCCAGCAGCUACUGUACUCGGAGUAACCUGUUGAGGGCUGUGCCCUCCCCCAGACUGAGCCAAGGGCAGAAACCAUGCACACUCACGGCAGGAAUGAGUCCUGCUGUCCAACAGUCCCUUGAGUGGAGUGGUUAGGGAAGACAUUUAUGGGAAGAGAGGAACCAAGGAAAGUAAGUUGGAAGGGCGGAUGUGGGGAGAAAGAAGAGGAUAGAAUCCAAUAGAGUGGAGUACGCACAUGUUCAUGUUCAAGUUACUCACAUGGAAAGCAAUGACGAGAUGGAGUUGGAUUUGUUUCCUAGGGCCAUUGCAGCAAAUCACCCACAAGCCUUCUAGCUUAAGCAACUGAAAUGUGUUCUCUCCCAGUCAUGGAAGCCAAAGAGGACCCCAAAUUCAAGGUACCGGCAAAGGCCCUCCUGUAGAAGCCCUCCUUCAUUCUUCAGUAUCUGGCAGCUCUUGGAGUUCUCUGGCAUGUGGUUGCACAACCCCCAUCUCUGCCUCCCUCUGCCCAUGGCCUUGCCUGUGAGUGUCAAAUCACUCCUUUCUCUUAGGAGGACGCCAGUUGUUGGAUUUGGCGUCCGCCCGACAUCCAUGAUGAUCUAAUCGCUACAUCUUAAUUACAUCUACAAAGACUAUUUCCAAGUAAGGUCACGGACACUGGGGAUUAGGUCCUCCACAUAUCUUUUGGGGUGGGGGUGGGGACACAGUUCAACCCACUGUAGAAAUAAACCCCACAUCCAUCCUCA
rnacentral:lncRNA from 1 species